CAUGGCAAUAAAAUAAAGUAAAAAGUGUGAACUGUGGGUUACUCAUAAGUGCAACGGGAAUACGCAGAGCCCAUGUGGGAAGCCGCUUCCUAGGGGCUCCCCUUUCAGUCUGUGGAAGCUAUUGCUGCGAUGGGCGUGAGCCACAUGGAAGGGAAGGUGGACAGAGGGAAGCAACCUCCUUUCUGUUACGUCAAAGAGUUGGAGUUCCCGGAAGUGGAGAGGGAAGCCCAUCUUCUCGUGCUCCUUAGGAGGAAAGCAAAGACACCCAUGAGGUCAGAGGACAGCUGGGAGGAGCCAUGGUAUCCUACUGUCUAGAUGCUUUCCACAUUACUUGAGGUGAUGAAUGGAGAGUGGCUGGAAAAGCCCUUGACCAGGGCCACCAUCCACAGACUACAGAUGUCUACUCAUUUAAGAAGUUCUACCAAGCUACCAGAGUGUUGGCCCAACACUACCACUAGCUUCCUGCUUCUGCCAUGAUGAACUGUGAUGCCCAGGAACUGUGAGCUAAAAUAAACCCUGUCUU